UCUGGAUGCGAUUUGCAGGGCUGAUUUUGAUGGUGUAUGAUGCUGAAAGUGACGUAAUGUAUUGUUUGGAUUUUGAAACUGGAUGUGUAUGCACAGGUUUAUGGAAUUGGCAUGAUUCGGGAGCAUGGUUAUGGUUUGAAGACUCGAGAAAGAGACCACCGGGUAGACAUCAUGGAAACUGGCGGAGCAAAGCUUGAAAGAUCGGAGUCAUGAUGAAGCUUUAGAGAAAACUAAACUUUAUGAUGUAAUAAUUUGAUUUUUGUAGUAUGUAAUGGUACUGAGAUAGGAGUGGAAUGGUGGAAUAUAUCUUUGGUGUGAUGGCAGGGACAUGUAUUUGGAAUGGACUUUUGGUAAUAUUUGUAAUGAAUAUUUUUUGUAUUGAAUAGAGACAUGGGCUUUGGCUUAUUUGAAUGAUGAA